rnacentral:rRNA from 1 species
CCCAGGCUCAGAUUGAACGCUGGCGGCAGGCCUAACACAUGCAAGUCGAGCGGAUGACAGGAGCUUGCUCCUGAAUUCAGCGGCGGACGGGUGAGUAAUGCCUAGGAAUCUGCCUGGUAGUGGGGGACAACGUUUCGAAAGGAACGCUAAUACCGCAUACGUCCUACGGGAGAAAGCAGGGGACCUUCGGGCCUUGCGCUAUCAGAUGAGCCUAGGUCGGAUUAGCUAGUUGGUGAGGUAAUGGCUCACCAAGGCGACGAUCCGUAACUGGUCUGAGAGGAUGAUCAGUCACACUGGAACUGAGACACGGUCCAGACUCCUACGGGAGGCAGCAGUGGGGAAUAUUGGACAAUGGGCGAAAGCCUGAUCCAGCCAUGCCGCGUGUGUGAAGAAGGUCUUCGGAUUGUAAAGCACUUUAAGUUGGGAGGAAGGGCAGUAACAUUAAUACUUUGCUGUUUUGACGUUACCGACAGAAUAAGCACCGGC